AACCUCAUGGUGCUUACCCCAGGCUGUAUUCUUAUACUGACUGCACAGAAAGGAGUAAAUCCAACCAUCAGACAGGCCCUUUGCCUGGUCUGUACUACGAAUGGGAGGGCAUGG
ensembl:snoRNA